AGCAGCCGCGGUAAUUCCAGCUCCAAUAGCGUAUAUUAAAGUUGUUGCAGUUAAAAAGCUCGUAGUUGAAUUUCGGGGUUCUACCGUUGGUCGGGCUUUGUCUGUACUGGCGUGUAGAAUUUCUACCUUCUGGGGAACUAUCAUGUUAUUAAUUUAACGUGGUGGGAAACCAGGACCUUUACCUUGAAAAAAUUAGAGUGUUCAAAGCAGGCUUAUGUCUGAAUACAUUAGCAUGGAAUAAUAAAAUAGGACGGUGGUCCUGUUUUGUUGGUUUCUGAAUCACCGUAAUGAUUAAUAGGGAUAGUUGGGGGCAUUAGUAUUCAAUUGUCAGAGGUGAAAUUCUUGGAUUUAUUGAAGACUAACUUCUGCGAAAGCAUUUGCCAAGGAUGUUUUCAUUAAUCAAGAACGAAAGUUAGGGGAUCGAAGACGAUCAGAUACCGUCGUAGUCUUAACCAUAAACUAUGCCGACUAGGGAUCGGGACGAUGUUAAUUUUUCUUGUACUCGUUCGGCGCCUUACGG
rnacentral:rRNA from 1 species